rnacentral:rRNA from 1 species
AUGAAGCUUCUUCCGGCCGUCCUCGGCCUCGCCCUCCUCCUGCUCGUCCUGAAUCCGAAUGGCGUGGAGGCCCGGCCUGCGCCUACCGGCGGUCAUGAGAAGAAGAUACAAAGCGCCACCUUCUUUGUCUUCGGGGAUGACUUCGCUGACAACAGGAACCUCCCUCUGACCGACCCCGUCACCGAGAAGUCAUGGCAAUGGGCUUACCCCUACGGCUCCAACUACGUCGAUGCCGAUGGGUUUCCGCGACCGAAUACCCCGUCCGGCCACUUCUCAAACUACAAGAUCCAGUCGGAUUUCAUCGCAACAAUGUUGGGGUUGGAGGAAGCCCCUCCAGCACAUGCCCGUACAGCGGAGAAAACCUGCGACCCGUCCGGCAUGACUUUUGCUACGGGUGGUGCAGUGGUGUUGGAUAGUACAUCACAUGAGUUUCCCACCUUUACCAAGCAAGUCAAUACUUUCAGGAAGAUGGUCAAGGACGGGACCAUCACGGAGAAACAAUUGACUCACUCUGUAGCGCUCGUGGCCUUCUCCGGCAAUGAUUAUGCAAGCACCGGCGUCAUUGGACUAAGUAGCCCCAACGAUAUUAAUGCUUAUAUUGGGAAAGUGACAAAAGAGAUGGCUGCUAAUGUGGAGCAAUUGUUGAAGCUUGGGGUUACAAAGGUUCUUGUCAACAACUUACAUCCUGUCGGUUGCACACCAUCACAAACCCGAACUAACAACUACACCACGUGCGAUAUUUUUGAAAACUUGGGUGCUUCCAUCCAUAACAAUAACUUGAAACAAGUUAUGACAGCAAAGAAGAAUGUCCACAUCACCGAUCUGUAA